rnacentral:rRNA from 1 species
GACAUAGGUGGCAAGCGUUAUUCGGAAUUACUAGGCGUAAAGCGAGUGUAGGCGGACGAUUAAGUCCGAUGUUAAAUCUCCAGGCUUAACUUGGAGUCGCAUCGGAUACUGGUCGCCUCGAGUGGGGGUAGGGGGCAGCGGAAUUCCCGGUGUAGCGGUGAAAUGCGUAGAUAUCGGGAGGAACAUCAGUGGCGAAGGCGGCUACCUGGCCCCAAUACUGACACUCAGGUGCGACAGCGUGGGGAGCAAACAGG